AACGAACGCUGGCGGCAGGCCUAACACAUGCAAGUCGAGCGGACCUUUCGGGGUCAGCGGCGGACGGGUGAGUAACGCGUGGGAAUAUGCCCUUCUCUACGGAAUAGUCCUGGGAAACUGGGGGUAAUACCGUAUACGCCCUUUGGGGGAAAGAUUUAUCGGGGAAGGAUUAGCCCGCGUUGGAUUAGGUAGUUGGUGGGGUAAUGGCCUACCAAGCCGACGAUCCAUAGCUGGUUUGAGAGGAUGAUCAGCCACACUGGGACUGAGACACGGCCCAGACUCCUACGGGAGGCAGCAGUGGGGAAUCUUAGACAAUGGGGGCAACCCUGAUCUAGCCAUGCCGCGUGAGUGAUGAAGGCCUUAGGGUUGUAAAGCUCUUUCAGCUGGGAAGAUAAUGACGGUGCCAGCAGAAGAAGCCCCGGCUAACUCCGUG
rnacentral:rRNA from 1 species